UCUAUGAUCUUUGAUUUCCUCAUCUGCAGGAGAGGUACAGCAUCAUUUACCUACCUCACAGAGGAACCAGCAGAUUACAUAACCAAAGAAAGGAAUUUAAGUCUUCUGUAUUAAGCCAAGGACGGACACAGAGAAAACAUACAAUUCAUGCUCACUUGAGUCUUGCCCUUGGAGUAGACUUUGAAGACAUUUUUCUCAGAAUAGAACAUCAACAAGUUACAUGGACUCCACGGUGUAACGGUUCAGGCGCCGCAUUCAGCCCAUUCAGAGUGUGUGAGUGCUAACGUGGAACUCUCCAGGAGACAGCAAGCAGAAAUGUGGAUGAUUAAAAUAAAGGGUUUUCUUUGGCAA